rnacentral:rRNA from 1 species
UUGACCUCAAAUCAGGUAGGACUACCCGCUGAACUUAAGCAUAUCAAUAAGCGGAGGAAAAGAAACUAACGAGGAUUCCCCUAGUAACUGCGAGUGAAGCGGGAAGAGCUCAAAUUCGAAUCCUGGCGGCGCGUGGCCG